rnacentral:rRNA from 1 species
GACGAACGCUGGCGGCGGGCUUAACACAUGCAAGUCGAACGGAAAGGCCCGGCUUUGGUGGGGGGCUCGAUUGGCGAACGGGUGAGUAACACGUGAGUAACCUGCCCUUGACUUUGGGAUAACUUCAGGAAACUGGGGCUAAUACCGGAUAGGAUCUCCUGCUGCAUUGUGGGGGUGGGAAAGUUUCGGCGGUUGGGGAUGGACUCGCGGCUUAUCAGCUUGUUGGUGGGGUAGUGGCUUACCAAGGCUUUGACGGGUAUCCGUCCUGAGAGGGUGACCGGCCACAUUGGGACUGAGAUACGACACAGACUCGUACGGGAGGCAGCAGUGGGGAAUAUUGCACAAUGGGCGGAAGCCUAAUGCAGCAACGCCGCGUGCGGGAUGACGGCCUUCGGGUUGUAAACCGCUUUCGCCUGUGACGAAGCGUGAGUGACGGUAAUGGGUAAAGAAGCACCGGCUAACUACGUG